rnacentral:lncRNA from 1 species
AGUUGUAACCUAUAGGAAUUGGUUUGCUUUCUCAUCAUUUGUGGCUGCCAUACCGUACCGCGUAGCGAACAUGAGGCGUGUCGAGAGCAUGACUCUUGGCACCAUGCAAGGAGUUGAGGGACAGCGAUGGGUUCCAGCUUGAGGGAUUGAACAAUUUCGGUGGACGCCGGUUGGUCCGACUCUCUAGCUAGGCGCUUCUUCUGACAGAUGACAGAUACCUGCAACUGGGAUGUGAGUCGUUCAUGCACCCAUAUCAGUCUGUUCUCUGUGAAGAUUCAGCCAAAGAAGCUCGUGCGCGGUCUAGCACAUGAUGUGCUUGAUCUCCGGCAUCUCACAUGGUAUCUCUUGGGUACAGUAGUAGAG